rnacentral:lncRNA from 1 species
AAGGAGUCCUGCAGGGGGAUAUGUAAACAAGCAAGGAUGUCUUCAGGAGGAUCAGUGGAAGAGGAUGUCGAGAAAGAGCUGCUGCACUCAGAGAGUGACUGGGCGUACAUGGAGGACAAGAAAGUGCAGAGAGAAAGGAGGGAAAAGCAGGCUCCAGACAGCGUGGAGAGGCACCAGAUUAACCCUGAGGAACUGGCUCCAGACCAGACUCUUUUGUAUGAGACUUCAACUCUCUAAAGAUUGGUCAAAGAUGGUGGCCGAUCUGGGGCAUAAUCACCGAGGACAAAAAGAGACAGAUUGUUCUUUGGACACAUCUUUCCAAGGUACAUUAAAAUCUGGCUGAAAUCUUAUAGGCAAAAGGACAGAGUGUCCCAGUUAUUUAUAGAUACCCACAUACCUGUGGGUGUGGGUAUACCUGUGACAAGAGUCAGUUACCCUUCACCAGGGGGAAUGUUUUCCCUAUAGGAGGGAUGGGCU